UAACCUGCCCAAGAGAUCGGGAUAACACCUGGAAACAGAUGCUAAUACCGGAUAACAACAGAUGAUGCCUAUCAACUGUUUAAAAGAUGGUUCUGCUAUCACUCUUGGAUGGACCUGCGGUGCAUUAGCUAGUUGGUAGGGUAACGGCCUACCAAGGCGAUGAUGCAUAGCCGAGUUGAGAGACUGAUCGGCCACAUUGGGACUGAUACACGGCCCAAACUCCUACGGGAGGCAGCAGAC
rnacentral:rRNA from 1 species